rnacentral:rRNA from 1 species
AAACAUGGCUUCCCGAUUAGAUAGCAUGGGAAGUCCAGCCUGCCCGCUGCGAUGUUAAGGGCUGCGGUAUCCUGACCGUACUAAGGUAGCAUAAUAAUUUGUCAUUUAAUUGGUGGCUUGUAUGAACGGCUUCAUCGAGUUUAACUGUCUCACCGUUAUUUGUUUUAACUUUAUUUGCUGGUGCAGAGGCCAGCAUGACAUAGAAGGACGAGAAGACCCUAAGAGCUUAAUCAGUCUAUAUAAGGUAUGUAGAAUGUUUUAGUUGGGGCAACACUGGUUCAGUCUAGCAACCAGUAAUAUUGUCGGGCUAGGUUUGUUCCAAAUAGUAUUUGAGUGGUCGUUUUUGUAUAGCUACCUUAGGGAUAACAGCGUAAUGUUUUCUUGAAGUUCUAAUUUAAGGGAACGUUUGCGACCUCGAUGUUGGAUUGGGGUUUUGGGUGUGGUGCAGAAGCUACACACAUAGGUCUGUUCGACCUUUUAUUCCUACAUGAUCUGA